rnacentral:lncRNA from 1 species
CUUGCCUGUGAGCAAUUCAGAGCCCCAAGAGAUUCCCAAAGAAACUGCUGCUCUGAGGUUAUUCAUCUGAUGGGAAGACGCUGGUGAGAAAAGACAACAUUUCUGACAAAUGUGGUAGGACUAACGAGCCAUCGGAAUGGGAGAAAAAUGGAACUUCCAUCAGCAGUGCUUUCAGCUAGCUGGGUGAGGAUCAGGUACUUCAGAGGUGACGAGGGUGAACUCAGCCCAAUAGGAGAGCUGACUCCAUGGUGAGUGGCAGCCAGCCAGCCAAUGAGAAUGAGUCAAGGAGAAAGAAGGUGGGUCCUUAGAGCUGCUGCAAAAACUCACUUCAUAAUUUGUGAAACCUGCCUCACAGCCUGGAAUUGAGAACCUGGGAAGCCAGCUGCUCCUUUCCUACCUGGGUGUUCUUAAAAAUACAAUUAUGUAAAGUUUAAAAAUUAAAAAAAAAAA